rnacentral:rRNA from 1 species
AACGAACGCUGGCGGCAGGCCUAACACAUGCAAGUCGAACGCAUCGCAAGAUGAGUGGCGCACGGGUGAGUAACACGUGGGAAUGUAUCCUUUGGUUCGGAAUAACGUCUGGAAACGGACGCUAAUACCGGAUGAGCCCUUAGGGGGAAAGAUUUAUCGCCGAAGGAGCAGCCCGCGUCUGAUUAGGUAGUUGGUGGGGUAAAGGCCUACCAAGCCGACGAUCAGUAGCUGGUCUGAGAGGAUGAUCAGCCACACUGGGACUGAGACACGGCCCAGACUCCUACGGGAGGCAGCAGUGGGGAAUAUUGGACAAUGGGCGCAAGCCUGAUCCAGCCAUGCCGCGUGAGUGAUGAAGGCCUUCGGGUUGUAAAGCUCUUUCGCACACGACGAUGAUGACGGUAGUGUGAGAAGAAGCCCCGGCUAACUUCGUGCCAGCCGCCGCAUAACAC